rnacentral:rRNA from 1 species
UAGGGAAUAUUGCGCAAUGGACGAAAGUCUGACGCAGCGACGCCGCGUGAGGGAUGAAGGUUUUCGGAUCGUAAACCUCUGUCAGGAGGCAAGAAAGCCUGGCGCGCUAAUCAGCGCCGGGUUGACGAACUCCAAAGGAAGCGCCGGCCAACUCCGUGCCAGCAGCCGCGGUAAUACGGAGGGCGCAAGCGUUAAUCGGAAUCACUGGGCGUAAAGCGCGCGUAGGCGGUCGUUUAAGUCAGGGGUGAAAGCCCGCGGCUCAACCGCGGAAUUGCCUUUGAAACUGAAAGACUUGAAUACAGGAGAGGACGGCGGAAUUCCUGGUGUAGGAGUGAAAUCCGUAGAUAUCAGGAGGAACACCAGCGGCGAAGGCGGCCGUCUGGCCUGAAAUUGACGCUGAGGCGCGAAAGCGUGGGUAGCAAACAGG